rnacentral:lncRNA from 1 species
UUCAUACUGUAUUUUAAACUGAAUUAUUGGAAAUCUUACUAACAGUGGGCUCUGCCUCCUCUGUAACUUUCUGUGUAUUUCAGAAAGAGCUGAAUGAUGCUGCCACUUACCAAGAAGAAAAAGCAGCGUAAGAGCAUUGGUUUAAAGGAGAUGUUUUGGAUUUACACUGUCAUCCUGAAAGCAGAGUUGUCCCCUGUCAAUGAGAAGUAUCACAGUCCCUCUCCCCAGAGUAUUAGA